rnacentral:sRNA from 1 species
CGCCCUUUCUUGCGCCUCCUUGCGGCGAGCCGCCGCGUCGUCGGCAGGGUAGGCAAAUUGGACGCUGUAGUAGAGAUCGGGCUGCUCUU